UAAUUCCCUUUGCAAGAACUUCAGGAAUUUGAAGCUCGAUAUUGCACUCCAUGGGCUGGCUAAUUCUUUAGUUAAUGGAAGUGAUCACUCGACUGCGUGCACUGUUCGUGUAGACUACAAAAGGGAAGAAGCUCGACAUCUCUUCUUCACUCGAGCUCACCUCCGCUCAAUCAGCAGGAGAAAUUAAAAUGGGUGCGGUGCUAUCAAAGAAAAUGAGAAGGAAAAGUGAUGCCGUGGUGGAGGAGGUGAAGGUGGUGGAGUCGGGCAUGGUGGCACCCAGCGCGCAGACGCCUAGGCAGGGCCUGUGGCUCUCCCCGCUUGACCUCAUGCUGGUCAACAGAGGCCACACCCCCACCGUCUACUUCUACCGCUCCGAGUCCGGCGACUCCUUCGACGUGGCCAGGCUCAAGGCGGCGAUGGCCAGGGCUCUGGUGGCCUUCUACCCCCUGGCUGGCCGUCUCGGCAUGGGCGGCCAAGACGGGCGGGCGGUGAUCGACUGCGCCGGUCAGGGCGCGCUCUUCGUCGUCGCGCGCUCGGACCUCGCCGUCGACGACUUCAGCGGCUUCAGACCUUCGACGGAGCUAAGGAGGCUCUUUGUUCCCCGCGUCGAGGAUUACUCGCCCCCCGUCAUGUGCGCCGUCCAGGUCACCUUCUUGAAGUGCGGCGGGGUGGCACUAGGGACCGCGCUGCACCACGUCGCCGCCGACGCCAUCAGCGCGUUCCACUUCUUCCAGACGUGGUCCGCCUUCUCCCGCGACGGCGACGCGGCGGCGGCGGCCCUAGAGCCCCCGUUCCACGACCGCACCCUCCUCCGCGCGCGCUCCCCGCCCUUCGUCCACCCGGACGCGCUCACCGUCUUCUGCCCCAAGCUGAACCUCUCCACCGAGCCGUCGGCGGGGCCCGUCGUCAGCGAGGCUUUCGACAUCUCCAAGGACCAGGCCGACGCUCUCAAGCGCGCGUGCGUCAGCGGCGACGGCGGGCGUGUCAGCACGUUCUGCGCCGUGAGCGCCCACGUGUGGCGGUGCGUGUGCGUGGCGCGCAGGCUGCCGCCGGACGCCACGACCCGCCUCACCUUCCCGGCGAGCGUCCGUCGCAGCCUGAGGCCGCCGCUCCCGGCCGGCUACUUCGGCAACGGGAUCAUCUGGCUGGGCGCCGCGGGCCAGGUCCGGGACGUCGCCUCCUCGGAGGGCCUGGCCUCCGCGGCCGGGCGGAUCAGGGGCGCCGUCCGACGGAUGGACGACGAGCUGGUGCGCUCGGCGAUCGACUACUUCGAGCUGACGGAGACGGACAGCAAGCCAGCGCCGGGCCGCAUGGCGGAGACGGAGCUGAGGGUGAUCAGCUGGCUGGGCAUGCCGGUGUACGACGCGGACUUUGGGUGGGGGAAGCCGCUGGCGAUGCUGCGCGGCGAGGCAGAGCGCGCCGGGUUCGUCUACCUGAUGGACGGCGGGCAGGGCGCCGGCAGCGUGCGCAUCGUCAUCUGUACGGAGGCCGCGAUCCUCAACGACUUCCAGCGCCUGCUAUAUGCCAAGUUCUAGCUCUAGGCGGCGCCUGACAUGAAUGGCGCCGGUCGUGACGCCGAGGUGUUCAACAAAGAGAUCACAUGUGCAAAUUCUCAAUGGAGCCUCUUGGGCCUGAUAUGCGCGCCGUGCUCCGGCUGCAGCAUGCCGACGGGGAAGGGCGCGUGCGCGUAGGACGGCGAGAGAUCCAAGGAGAAGCGCCGCAGGAUCAUGGCGAGCCCCAUCUUGGCCUCGAGCAGCGCGAAGCCCUGGCCGACGCAGGUCCGCGGGCCCCACACGAACGGGAAGAACGCCGGCGCGUCCGCGGCCGACGCCUUGGAGACCCCCUCGGCGAACCUCUCUG